CGUAUGAUUGAUUGAUGUUGUUGUAAGUUGCUUUGCAACGUCUGUCAGGCUGAAAUCAACCCAGCUGCUCUUGAAGCUCCUUUCCUUUUGAAAAUGGAUGUAAUCUGUAUGAUUUGGACAUGAUUCUGUGCCCCUCCAAGCUGUUGCACGUUCUUUGAAAAGUAUCCAGUAUUUGUACAGCUACAACAUCUGUAUCUUGAGAGUUUGGCUACUAUAAUGACUUUUCUGAUUAAUUAGUUGUGGAAAUGUAUUAGAUUUCCACCACAAGUGUGACAAAGUGGGAUAUGUGAUAUGUCAGAUUUUGCAAAGUGCUUAUGCAGCUGUUGGCUGGGAGUUGGAGAUUACAGAAUGCCUAUGUAGACACAAUCAACACUCGUAAUGUUUGGUGGAACUGAUGGAAUAAAAAGACAAAUGAUGAUGAAACCCUAUGAGGUAUGCAAAACGCACAAGUGAGCAAUCUGUUCACAGGAAUUCAUGAACUUCAUUGCACUCCGUUUCCUCCAACACAGUAUAUUCACAUUUGCAUGUUUCUUGAGAGAUUUUCAUGAUACAUAUGUAUUGUUUCAUUGGCUGACACAGCACUUUGGUCUUACUGUUUUCCUCAGAACAUCCCAAAGGCACCCAGCGCUUAGCAGAAUCAUUAAUCAACAUUCCCUGCUGAUGGUGUCUCUGCUACCCUCACUUCAAGAACAGUCACCCCAUCUGUUCGGAGGCAGCCUGGCCAGGAGGCAGAGCCUGCUGCAAGCCGAGCACAGAGACACCAAGACUCUCAUAUGGAGAAGCUAAACCAGCAGGUGGCCAGCAUCAGCUUUGGGAUUCUUGGUUUGCCUUUGAGACACUUCAAUUGCACCACCUGGAUACCUUAUGGAAAGCAGAAGGAUGACAGAGAUGGAGAGCAGAACAGUCCUGAAAGUCAUGAUUUUAAAAAGUGAGGCUCAUCCAGGUUUGACAGAUCAUCCAGCACCUGCACAAAUGUCAUGGUCACCAAGAUGACCUGAAGUCAGGCCUCAGAUACUGGAAGAGCUGGAUUGUCUCGACUGCUCCUGCAUUAUCAUGAGGAGGAAGAUGAAGGAUGUGCACAGGUGCACGGUUCAAACUGUCAAAGAAGACAAAAAGAAAAAUUCGGACAGUUUCUGGGAUUUAAUUCUUGUUUUCUCAUGUAGGCUUGAUAUUCCGACACCCUUUUUUCCGAACUGUCAUUUCCACCAGAUCUCUGAAUUCAAAUCCUUUUCUUGUUUGCCAGCUGGUGGUGCGGUUGAAUAAAAUAUGAUGAAAUCCA